UUUUCCCCUAAAUUUUUUUUUCUUCCCAUUUUGCCCUUCUACAAGAUCUCUAUAUCCUCCAUCCCUCUAUAUUUCCCGGUGUAAAUUCCACCAAAUUUGAGGGCAUUUUCGGAUAAUUUUAUCGAUUUUUUAAUAUUUCGCCGGAAAAGUUCCAUUGGAAAUGACGGGAAAUAUUGGGGCAUGAGGUAUUCGUUUGUGGGGAUAGAAUUAUGAGGGGAUCUCUUUGGCCGGAGAAUUCAAGUAGUGAUUCAUCUACGUCAAAUCCGAUUCAUGUACCGCCGCCGCCGCCGCCGCCGGGAUGGAAUUCGCCUGCUCUUCCGAUUGAGCAAAACCCUAAUUGCAAAAACAGAUGUGGUAAUGUCUUUCAGCUACUAACGAAGAGGGAGGUAUCUCCUCGAGCUAAACGUAGUUCUAAGAAGUUAUGGGAUGAGAAUUCUAAAUAUUGUGCUCAUUCCUAUGAGAAGUUAAAAAGCCAAGUAGCAAGAGACCCGAGACGGGGUCUUAUAUCAUGGGUAGAGGCAGAAUCAUUGAGACAUUUUUCAGCUAAGUAUUGUCCACUGUUGCCUCCGCCUAGGUCUACAAUUGCUGCGGCAUUCAGUCCUGAUGGGAAGACACUUGCUUCUACUCAUGGAGAUCACACAGUAAAGAUAAUUGACUGCCAAAGCGGGAAAUGCUUGAAGGUGUUAAGUGGACAUCGCAGGACUCCUUGGGUGGUUCGUUUCCAUCCACUCUACUCUGAGAUAGUUGCAAGUGGAAGUUUGGACCAUGAAGUUCGUUUAUGGGAUGCAAAAACCGCCGAGUGUAUAGGAUCACGUGAUUUUUACCG
rnacentral:misc_RNA from 1 species